rnacentral:rRNA from 1 species
CUGCUGCCUCCCGUAGGAGUUUGGACCGUGUCUCAGUUCCAAUGUGGGGGACCUUCCUCUCAGAACCCCUACUGAUCGUCGCCCCGGUGGGCCGUUACCCCGCCGGCAAGCUAAUCAGACGCAUCCCCAUCCUUUACCGGCCGAAGCCUUUGGUCAUGAAAAUAUGCAUCAACAUGACAACAUACGGUAUUAAUCCGCCUUUCGACGGGCUGUCCCAUAGUAAAGGGCAGGUUGGAUACGCGUUACUCACCCGUGCGCCGGUCGCCAU